GAUGAACGCUGGCGGCGUGCUUAACACAUGCAAGUCGAACGGAAAGGCCCAAGCUUGCUUGGGUACUCGAGUGGCGAACGGGUGAGUAACACGUGGGUGAUCUGCCCUGCACUUCGGGAUAAGCCUGGGAAACUGGGUCUAAUACCGGAUAGGACCACUUCUUGGAUGUUGUGGUGGAAAGUUUUUUCGGUGUGGGAUGAGCUCGCGGCCUAUCAGCUUGUUGGUGGGGUAAUGGCCUACCAAGGCGUCGACGGGUAGCCGGCCUGAGAGGGUGUACGGCCACAUUGGGACUGAGAUACGGCCCAGACUCCUACGGGAGGCAGCAGUGGUGAAUAUUGCACAAUGGGCGCAAGCCUGAUGCAGCGACGCCGCGUGGGGGAUGACGGCCUUCGGGUUGUAAACUCCUUUCGCUAGGGACGAAGCGUUUUGUGACGGUACCUGGAGAAGAAGCACCGGCUAACUACGUG
rnacentral:rRNA from 1 species